rnacentral:rRNA from 1 species
AACGUAGGACACGAGCGUUAUCCGGAUUUACUGGGCGUAAAGGGCAAGCAGGCGGACUGUUAAGUCAGACGUGAAAGCUCCGGGCUUAACCGGGAGAGUGCGUUUGAGACUGGCAGACUAGAGGGCAGCAGAGGAGCAUGGAAUUCCGGGUGGAGUGGUGAAAUGCGUAGAUAUCCGGAGGAACACCAGAGGCGAAGGCGGUGCUCUGGGCUGAACCUGACGCUGAGAUGCGAAAGCGUGGGGAGCGAACGGGAUUAGAAACCCCGGUAGUCCACGCAGUAAACGAUGUCCACUAGGUGUUGGGGGAUUAACCUUCAGCGCCGCAGCUAACGCGAUAAGUGGACCGCCUGGGGAGUACGGUCGCAAGGCUAAA